rnacentral:miRNA from 1 species
CGGUGAGGACAACGGAUGGUUAUGAUGAUGAUGACGAGACGACAACGACGUUGUCGUCUCGUUAUCAUCAUCAUAACCAUUACGAAAU